rnacentral:rRNA from 1 species
AGAGAGAGACAUGCGCGCAUAUCAAUAAGCGGAGGAAAAGAAACUAACAAGGAUUCCCCUAGUAACGGCGAGUGAAGCGGGAAGAGCUCAAAUUUGAAAUCUUAAAGGGUUUCCCUUUACGAAUUGUAGUUUAAAGAAGUGUUUUCUGUUGAGGUUUUGGUAAAAGUUCUUUGGAAUAGGACAUCAUAGAGGGUGAGAAUCCCGUAUUUGACCUUUACUUUCAACUUUGUGAUACACUUUCAAAGAGUCGGAUUGUUUGGGAAUGCAGUCCAAAAUGGGUGGUAAAUUUCAUCUAAAGCUAAAUAUUGGCGAGAGACCGAUAGCGAACAGGUACCGUGAGGGAAAGAUGAAAAGAACUUUGAAAAGAGAGUUAAACAGUACGUGAAAUUGUCAAAAGGGAAGCGUUUGACACCAGUGUUGUUUUUCUGAAAGUCAAUUAAAGAACUGUUUAUGCUAAGCUGUUUAGACUUUAUCAGCUAAUCUGUUUAGUUUUGAGCUUUUCUUUAAUGCACUUUUCAGUUAACAAGUCAACAUCAAUUUCUUUUGCUGUAAAAAAGCUUGAGGAAGGUGGCUUGAGAUUCGUCUUAAGUGUUUAUAGCCUCUUGCCUAUGCAGUCGGAGAGAUUGAGGUCUGCAGCGUAGAUCCUUCGGGGCUAAAUGCAUUUGUGCUAAGUUAUAGCAUUUUAUAGACAACCUUGUUGACUAUGAUUUGUCUUGUAGCUUACUCGCUUAUGUUAUUUUACCUACGCUUAGGAUGUUGACGCAUGAGAUAUACGC